AUCAUGAUAACUCCACGAAUCGCAUGGCCCAGCGCCGGCGAUGUUUCAUUCAAAUUUCUGCCCUAUCAACUUUCGACGGUAAGGUAUUGGCUUACCGUGGUGGUAACGGGUGACGGAGGAUUAGGGUUCGAUUCCGGAGAGGGAGCCUGAGAAACGGCUACCACAUCCAAGGAAGGCAGCAGGCGCGCAAAUUACCCAAUCUUGACACAAGGAGGUAGUGACAAUAAAUAACAAUACCGGGGUUAUUCAACUCUGGUAAUUGGAAUGAGUACAAUCUAAACCCCUUAACGAGGAUCAAUUGGAGGGCAAGUCUGGUGCCAGCAGCCGCGGUAAUUCCAGCUCCAAUAGCGUAUAUUUAAGUUGUUGCAGUUAAAAAGCUCGUAGUUGGAUUUCGGACGGGCCCGGCCGGUCCGCCUCACGGUGUGCACUGACCGGGCCCGUCCUGCUGCCGGGGACGGGCUCCUGGGCUUCACUGUCCGGGACUCGGAGUCGGCGAGGUUACUUUGAGUAAAUUAGAGUGUUCAAAGCAGGCAUCCGCCUUGAAUACGUUAGCAUGGAAUAACACGAU
rnacentral:rRNA from 1 species